CCUGGAAUAAAACUGAGACCGCGACUGGGCGGCUCGCGUGUCCGUGCCCUGCGUGGGAUGGGUGUGUUGGGAGGGCGAGCCCCGGCCGCGGCCGAGGAGAGAGGGUGGAAGUGCCGGCGGGGGGGUGCCGCGGCAGUGCCUGCGGUGUCCCCGCUCCCCGCCACCUCACCUCGCUCGAUGUUGGCGAUGGCCCGUCGCAGGUGCUCCUCUGUCACCAGCUCUCCGACGACCACCAGCAGGAGAGGACAAGGUGGUGUUCAGAGCAGGAGCACCCCAUUUCCUCUGCACUUUGCAGUGGGGAUUGGUUCAGAACACUAGAUUAGAAGCAUAAAACAUUAACUAUGGAUUCUUCUGCAGAAACUUGCUGCUCAUGGCUGGAACAAGUACACUCUUUGCUGGAUAAAAAAAAAAUGGUUGGAUGGAGAAGCCCAAGGAAUUGUGAGGAACACACAGGAUAGAAGAUAUCAUCUCAAGGGAGUAAAUGGACAAACACUAUGAUUGCAGAUGUGUUACCAUAUUCAGCAGAGCAUUUGAUAAGCUUAAUGUUUUAUGAACUUAAAACAAGUGUGUGAACUGCGUUCAGAAUACAUCCUGUCCUCUUACCACAGGUCAAGAGAUUUUGAAAAAUAUUAUGAAAUUUUA